CCCCUCCCUUCUCUUAGGGGCCAUCAAUAUAAUUAAUACCUCCAGCAAUCACCAAUAGGAUGUCUUACUAACAUAAUCGAGAUCUUGUUCUAGAACUCCCAUUGCUACUACAAUCAAUACUAGCAUACAAACCCAACAAAAGUCAAGACUGACUAUGUGGCUUUGAAAUAACUAUAACCAUCUGCUAAUUACAAUUACAAAAAGCAUCAAUUUGAAGUACACCCAACCUCCAAAUGUCAACGAUGCCCCUUGCCAAACUAUUGGAUUCAAUAGCAUGCAAAACCCAUGACCUCAACAAUCGCCACU
rnacentral:lncRNA from 1 species